rnacentral:rRNA from 1 species
UACGUAGGUGGCAAGCGUUGUCCGGAUUUACUGGGCGUAAAGGGAGCGUAGGCGGAUACUUAAGUGGGAUGUGAAAUACCUGGGCUUAACUUGGGUGCUGCAUUCCAAACUGGGUGUCUAGAGUGUUGGAGAGGAAAGUGGAAUUCCUAGUGUAGCGGUGAAAUGCGUAGAGAUUAGGAAGAACACCAGUGGCGAAGGCGACUUUCUGGACAAUAACUGACGCUGAGGCUCGAAAGCGUGGGGAGCAAACAGGAUUAGAUACCCUGGUAGUUCACGCCGUAAACGAUGGGUACUAGGUGUAGGAGGUAUGGACUCCUCCUGUGCCGCCGUUAACACAAUAAGUACCCCGCCUGGGGAGUACGGUCGCAAGAUUAAA